GGUCUUCAGGCUGGCUGCGAGAAAAAUCUAUUCAGUGUAUGGCAUUUGGAACCAUAAUUUUAAAUUACAGUCGAAUAUUUUCGGAUACAAAUCGGGCUGAUCAUGUUUUCUAACCAAUAAGACUUUUGGACAAGAAAACGGUUGUAAUAUGACGAUUUUAAAAGGAUCUGUCGACUGUCGUGGGGUUCGCAAAAUAUCAAUAAAUAUGGCAGUUAACACUGUUGUCGUACAGUUUCAAUAACAUUUGGGACCGGUUUGCUCGUUCAAAAUACGUCUUGGGAUUGUUUGAACACUGUUCUACAAACUGAGACUAUUGGGAAACAUUAUACAAGUUUUGUGAGAGAAUAUCAAAGACGGAUGGACGACAGAACAAAAGGAACGCGUGAGCCAGCUUGAAGGCAGAUUUACGUUUUGUUUUCCUCCUGAAUAUCCGGUUGAAGCAUGAACCGCGCGUAUGGCAGACAGCCUACGCAUUACCAUUUGUUUGCGUGUCAGGGGGUCCUCGAUAUCAACGAAAAGCUGGGAAGAACGGGAUUAGAAGAAGAUGACCCUUUUACCUUGUCAUCAGGUAGUUGAAGGGUUUAUUUCAUGCGAAUGUCCUUCAGCGUGUAUUUAACGACCACCCAAAACGCACACGCGACGACAAAGUGCUUCACGAAGAAGGGGAAAUUAGUAACUUUUGAACGAUGUGGUUUAGUCAAAUGACGCUUUCUAUAUAGUUUUAAUUCCGUUUCAUAUCGAUUCGCGUCGGUCGCGCUAAAGAUAUAUAUGACCAUAAUGUGAAAAUUAUUUUGACUAUUGGCUUUAAACGGUUGAGGAAAAACCUCUUAAUUUUCGCAGUUGACUAAAUUACCCGGCAAAUUUACUUCCCUCCAUUAGUUGAUCUUUUUAAAUAAACCAGGAAACCAAAUUUGGUUAAACCAGGAAAGUAAAAAAUUAGUAUUUGCUUUUAGUUGGAACGAUCUUGCUUAGUCAACAGAUACAAUUAAUUUCGCUUUCCCGAGUCAUAGGUUUGGCAGGAAUGCUCAAAACGGUCAUAUUUUGGAUUGAAAUAGAGCAUUUAGUUUGAAAUAAAGCGGUAAAAUUGCAUUUCAUGUGCCAGGCAGAUGUAAACAACGAUAUACUUUGAUGCAGUGUUCUUGAAACACUUUAAAGUACCAGUUGUAUUGAAAUUCAACAGAAGAGGUCUGGCCUAUUUUACCCGGCGUAUAUGAAGGAAAGCGCCCAUAGUUGUUUGCAUUUCAUGAUAGAACAAUUUUCACAAGGUCUGUUGACAGGAACUGCGUGAAAAUCACGGGUCCGUUUAAGCUGGUUUUACCUGACGGAACCUAGCGCCGGGAGCAGUAUUUUUCUCUAUUUAUUGACCUCCCCACUGAAUGAACUACUAAUCGCUGGAUAGACCAGAAAAUUCCUCCGCACCGCACCCAGGGUAAAAAACUGAUGCUUAAAUAUUUAAAUUUGCCGAAUACCGGUUGUAAUUUGACAGAAUUUGCCUAAAGUGAAUCAUUAAUUGAUUUAAAGCACGCGUCAUAUUCCGUUUUGUACUGAGAUGUUGAAAUGCAUUUUAAACGUGUCAAAUCUGCGUGCAUGUAGGUAACCGUUAAACGCAAGGGGAUUGUCAGAUAAGGCCAGUUAUAAGUUCGCACUGAACAAGUUUGACUAUGAAAAGAAUAAGCCAACAUCUGAUGAUCUUAAAUGCACAGCGCAGAACUUGUUCACUCGAUCGCAAAGGAAAUAGAUAUAUCGUUAUAAAAAAAUUUACAAUUUCCAAACUGACAAUGCAUAUUAAAGCAGAGAGGUUUUCUAACUAUACUACGGGUUGUUCAAAAGACAGCGUCCAGAGUCCAAAAGCCACGUGAUGUGCAUUUCAAAUGGAGGAAUUAAGCAAUUAUUUUUACAUGCAUGUAUACAUUUUGUAAGAGUUAGGCGCACGUUUAAUUGCGCUGUCUUAAUACUGUCAUGGAGUUAUUUAAUAUCAAAAAGUUAGUUUAUAUAUAUAAGGGCACAGUUGCACAAGGCAAUUUUCUGGCUUGCAACUUGCAAUGCAAUUAUCAUGAUUUUAAGGGAUGUUAAUUAGUGAAGAGUGUCCGAAAUGGUUAGAAAACGUUAGCGAGUUAUAAGGAAUGUUUAUAUUUGACUACUUUAGAUUCCUCAGGAGUAGAAUUGCAUUGUAAUUUGCAAGGAAAGUUGCAUACUAGUGUAACACCACCUUAAAUUUUCAGCUUACGGGAACACAACUGUAUUAUAUGCGAAGCUUUUAGCUCGUUAGUUAUACCUGGGCCUUCAUUAGCGCAAUAAAAAAAGUGUGUUAAGUUUAGAUUUCCUCCUAAAUAACUGGAUCAAUACUUACGAACGAUCGAGAUUCUGCAGGGGCAAUCCAUGCAGCGCAGUUUACUAUGAAAACAACAAUGUUUUUCUGGUCGAAUACUUAAGCUACCAUAGCUUCCUCAGCAACGAAUCGUAUUCGCUCAAAGUGACAAGGUUUAGAGCCAAUUUCCGCUGUCGUCGUUUGCCUACGUUCGUACGCGCACGUAAGAGUUUUAAUCCCAGCUAAACGGUAAAUGUAUUACAUCGAAAAGGAUAUAUACUAUGAUGAAUACAGAGUUUUUUAUGUGAUUGUUGAGAGAGACUAGGCGUCUAUCACCGGUGCAUGCAGUAACCGAGUAUAAACGUUUAACCGACGACUAUGCUGCGUUUCGUGGAAUUCAUUUUGACCGUUCCUUUUGCCUAUGACAACCAAAUGUUGUUUGAGUUUUAUAGAACCGGCAUCAGACCAAUAGAAACAUGCUAAUAUAACCGGUUGCAUGGCUUGCGCGGCGCUAUUAUAGCCUCCCGAGUUGAUUGUGCUGUAUGUGCAAUGUGAGAAAAAACUGCUUCGAAAAUCAACAUCUUGUAAAUUCAAAAUAUAUGAGUUACGGAAAUGAAACGAGACAGCAAUUUUACGGGUAUGCAAAUAUAUGAAGUUGCACCCAUAAAGGAUUUUAUUUGGCAGAAUCAUAUUCAAACUAAGCUCCAAAAUUACAGUUGGGUCGGGUAUACACUAAGAUUAAACCCUUCCCUAAUGUGUUUUUCUAAUGUAUAAUUGGUUUUUCCAAAACUUAGAAGGUUUUUAACUAUUAUAUCUACAUACGUACGUGUAAAAAACAGCUUUAAACCGUUUUUCAGAUGGUUUUAGACGCGUUGUAGCUAUGUAUACACAAGAUCUAAAGACGAUUUUGCACCGGAUAUCAUUUUUCACUUUCGCAAUUUUCCCCCCACAACAUUUUUCCAUCAUGCGAGAAGUUUAUUGCAUUUAGUAGAAAUUUCUGCAUUUAGCUCGCCGCUAAAGAAACGUUAAAUUAAGGCAUGCACGUUAAAGAAAAGUUGUAGGGUAUAAUAAAGUUACUGCAAUUCAAUAAUAUAUAAUAGCUAUAUAGUUUUAAUAAUGUAUAUAUCUAUAGAACCAUAUUAUGUAUACAUUCACAAUUUUCCAAGAUAGUAUAAUUUUUUAUCCGAAUGAAACAAUGGUGAAAUUCUGGGUUAAAUUAUUGACACAUAUAAUUUAAUACAUGAUGUUUGCUCAACUUUCGUAUUUAACGGUUCAAGUUUCCCAGAAACCACUUUAAAAUGUAAUAAUGCUUUUUAUCUGCUAAAUGGAAUUUUAGCAGCUUUUCUGUCUGGUUGUAAUAAGAUUCGUUAGUUUGAAUAAAUAAAAGUACGCAAGCUCUUCAUUCUUAAGGGACAAACUUAAAGAACUCUGCCUCAUUGAUUAAAAAAAUGGAACCUUAGUAAUUUACAAGGUCAAAAUACCCUGCAAACAGCCGCAAGUGUUUAUUCUACCGAUAAUUAUAAAAUACGCUUUAUAUAUAAUUUCAAAAAAAAUACGGGAACGUUUUGCGAUAAAUCUAGAAAGCUCAAAAAUCCGGUAAUUUCUAACCCAUUUGAACAUGCUAAUUCUUUCCUAAUACUCUUUCAAAAAUACCAUGGGUCGGUAGGUGCAAGCAUUUUUAAAUAAAAUUCGAUGAGUGUGGGUGAGCUUUUUGAAUAAAAACGGUGUCUUUUUGCCUAUAGAGCCUGUAUUCACUUUAAUUUAAUGUUUAACUUUAAUGCUGUUGAAAGCCUUUGAUUAAAGUUCUGUUUUGGAUCCAAUUCACUUCUGAUGGAGGUUUUAUAGUCUGUUGUCUUGUAAUGUACAUGGGCAGCAAAUCCACUAAAGCCAACUUAAUUCCAUACGUCAGAAGUAAAUUGGAUCGUGUGAACAGACCUUUAGACACCGCAUCACAUGCAAGAAAUCUCUUUUGCAUGCAGGAGGUAUAAUCGAUUUUUUAACAUUUUUUUAUCUAAACGAGGAGUACUUAUAUGCAAGAGGGUCACCGAUUAUUUAACUGUGCAACUUUGUAGCUGGCGCCUUAAAAAAACUUUUUUUCUGCCAAUUUUCACGCCGGAGUUUUUUUUAAAUCAUCAGAUUAUAGAAUCGAUAUCAUUCCACACCGAAUGGAUGUAAGUCCACAAACUUUUAAAACUGUGUGCGUUAAAUGUCAUUCCUGUCGUCCGUUGCCUGGUGUUGUGACAAUACAUAUGUUAGUGCAUGAUGAUCAGAAAUUUCAAUUGAAAAUCCUUUUGCCAUGACAAAGCUGCAGCUUUGAAGAAUUCGAUGCACAAUAUUUUCACACAAUGUUUUCAUGCGAAAGAAACGACUGCACAUUCCAGGCACUGAGAUCUGCAUAUGAAUUGGUGCUGUAUUUUCGUUUGGUGAGAUUCAGUGAAUAUAAAUUAAAAAUUAUAUUUUGAUUCCGUAACAAAUAUGUUUUAGCGUCUGUGGAUCAAAGCAUAUUUUUCAAAUACUCUUUCCUCAAAGAAAAACAAUGUAGAAAUGGCAAUGAGCUAAACUAAACACGUCUGGAAUACAAAACAUGCAUGUUUCAUUUCCCAACUUCUCAGUGUGUGGUCGACAUGGACGCCACGAAACGAAGAGACGCUGCCAAAAAAUCCCAAGUCAAUCAGCGAGUUUUAUCAUGUCGCCGGUGAAUGAAUGGGAUAGGGAAGUAGAAUUCUGCAUGAAUAUACUGCAUGUAGAGAAAGUUAAAUACGUUCCCUCGCUGGUCUUUCAGGUACACUAUAAAUAAACAUAGUUGUAUAAACUAUAUUUAUGAUGCAUGAAACUAACUGAACUGCAUGAUCGUUGAAACCCUAAGAUUAUUGUUAGAACUAUGUAGAAGUGACAGAACUAUAUCCGGUAUAUUUUUGAAGUAAUUCAGUGAUCCUCCAUUGGUAACACUGGAUCCUCAAUAUAGGAAACGAUGUUUACUGAAAUUUAGGGAUAAACUUGUGUUCAUUUUAGGUUUCAAAUUUCUAGUUCUUGUUUAGCAUCCCUGGAUCAAUAGGAGAUGAUUAUAUUGUACAACUAGUACAAGCAGCUUCGCUUUGAAUAGAAUUAACUAUAUACAGUACAAAAUCAAUUUAGAUCAGGUUUCCUCCAGCUGUGACAAAGGAUCAAUUAGACAUCGUCUCAAUAGAAAAAAUGAAACAGCUAUCUAUAGUUUACCGUGACUGCACGCUUUCUUGGCAAAAGUACAAUUUCCAUGUGUUUACAUUGAAAUAAUUCACUUCACUUGUUCUUUUUUUAAAACGCUUUACAUCCGAAUUAAUAAAAACAUCAGCUCUCGCCGGCCAGGGAACGCUUUCAGCCUUGUUUAUAUUGAAAUUGUUAGCUUAUUAUCAUUUUUUUAAAUGGAAUGCACGCGUUUAACGAACUAUCGCCACUUAAAAUGCGAAUACUGUUCUUGUUAAAUCCGUCUGAAAAAGAUUAGCCUUAUCGUUUCGAGCAAACAUGCUUUUAUCAUGAGGAUGUUUUCGUAACUUGUAUGCGACCAGAAAAAUAUUGGUGUUUUUUUAGUAAACGUACUACACUGGAUUUCUUUGACACUUCUCAUGUUAGUUCCUUAUUGAUCUAGUUCAACGUCAGGAAAUCUGAUUACAGCACUGUAAAUAUAUAAUGAGGCAAGACUUUUUCAGUUGAGAAGAGCUAGCCUGAUACUAAAACAAUAUAUGAAUGGCAAUGAUUAAAGAUUCAGUAACGAUCAUCUCUUAUUGAUCCAGCAUUAUGCUACCGACAGAAACCUAAGCUAAACAAAUUUAUUUAAAUUGGAUAGCUUCCUCACAGAAUUAGAGGCGCUGUUCUUGCUAAAAGUCUGGUGGGGAUCAUUAUGUUGAUCCAGUGUUAUACGAUAAAAAACAGAGCAUAACUGAGUGGGAGCAAGUGGGGUCUUGUCACGAAAUCACGAAGGUCUUUUUCAGAUUUCACGAAUCACGAAGAAGAUAAUUUCAUUUUCACGAUUUUUAAACACUUCGGGGUCAACAAAGGAGCCAUAACAAAUCUUCAAAGAUGCGACGACAGUGUACGAAGAUCUACGAAAGUCUACGACUAGAUUUAUCAUAUAAAAUAUGAUAUUUUUUUAUUUUAUACGACUAGACUUUGAUUUUUUGACCUUUACUUUUAAUUGAGGCCCAGCAUUGAACCUAAAAAUUUAUAAAUAGUGGUAAAAUAUUGGUAUAAUUAAGAUGCCUUAGCCAGCUUAUUGAGUCUUCGCGAUACACUGAAAUAACGCUAAGUAACAGGUGAAGAAAAUACCCCUCCCUCUUUACUGUACGCCCCCCCCCCUCAACAUUACUGUACCUAAACGUACUUCGUUUAAUAUUACAGGUAUCUCUGUCAGUCCUAAACUGUUCUUCAAUCCUAGAGUCCAAUAGCCCAGAACAAACACCUACUGGGUGAUCAAACCGAAGUGAUUCAACUGUGUGAAGCCCCACUUGUGUGAAGUUAAUAGCCCUACUUUAAAAUCAAUCGUCCCCUCCAAGUUUCUUAAAGAAUUAAGCGCAAAUUAUAUUUCGAGUGAAUAUCUCUGUUAGUCAUAAACCGUCCCUCGUUCAGUGACCAGUAUUAUCACAUGCAGGAAGAAACCUUAACAGCACAUGUAUGUGCUAAUUUUGGAACUACAGAAAAAAUGCCGAACUCCCAGGAUAUAUAAAAUCGGCGUUUUUCGUAAAUUAAUACAGGAAGACUCAUCCUACCGAUAAACAAUAAUCAACGCAUAACAAAAUGAAGGAAAGGAAUUAGUUACAUCCUUCCAUCGGAAACAUCAAUGAAAUAACAUUUCGUGUUAAGGAAUGUUGUUUUGUUUUUAAAAUGAUACCUUAUUGUUUGUUGCUUUGUAAAACACAGUUAAUUUGUUUUGGCUCCGUCGUGUAUAUCGUUUCGGCUACAUGCCAAGAUUCGGUCGCUGUAGUAAUUGAGGACUCACAUCCGGACGCUCUGGCAGGGGGUCAAAUUAAACGAGAAUAUGUACUGUACUUUGCGCACGUUUUUGCAACUGUUGAUGACUGUGCUCCAUGAGCUUCAGCAACCUUGUAGGAAUCAACCUGGAUGGCAUUUUUUUACCAUGAUGAGCCGAUCAGACGCUCGAUGGAUGUUCCCAAUACUUGCGAUUUAUUUCUCGAGCUUCUUCUUUUGAUAGAUGUGAACGAAUGAGAAUUAGUAACUAAUUACUCAUUCACAUCUAUCAAAAGAGGAAAAGCGCACAAAAUAUCGCGCCAAAAAUUGCAAAUG
rnacentral:lncRNA from 1 species